ensembl:lncRNA
GUGCUAUACCUUAUAUCCUGUUGCUUAUCUAUUUUAAAUAUGGUUUCUUUAAAUAGGGUUUCUGCAAACUAUUAUAUAGUUUGUAUCUGUUAAUCCCAUCCCGCUGCUCUUCCCUCUCCUUUUUGGUAAAACCACAAGUUUUGUUUCCUAUGUCUCUGAGUCCGUUUCUGUUUUGGAUAUACAUAUGUUUUCUUUUUUUUAAUUCCACAUACAACUGAUAUUAUCAUGUAGUAUUUGUCUUUCUCUUUUUCUUUGACUAAUUUCACUAAGCAUGAUGCUCUCUCGGUCCAUCCACAUUUCUGGGGCAUUUUAAGUACUGACUCCUGGGUCCCACCUCCAGCCAUUCUGCCAUGAGAUGAAGCCAGGCACCGCAGUUUUCGAAGCUCCCUCGGGGGAUUUGAAUACGCAGCAAAACACAUUUCACCUGGUGGCCUCUCCGCAGGAGGCUGGCAUCACACUGGCUGGUGAUGCUUUCUGGGCUUUGUCGGAUUUUCAUUCCUCAGGAAACAGAACCAGGAGUGACCAGCGAGGCCCAGCCCAGUGGCAGAGCUGAGAUCUCUGUGACCGGCAGAGGGUCCCUGGCUGAGAGAGGGUACCGGUUGCCUUCUGCCUGCCUGCCCCAGGCAAGGAUGAGCUCUCCCCUGAGGGGGAUCCAUAGCCCGUGCUAGCAGUGGGCUAGCAGACCACCCGGCACUCUGAAUCCUGGGACCGCCCCACCCCACCCCAUGCACUGCUGGUCACUGGGAGCACUCAAGACAGGAAGAACUCACCACUCAGAGACAGCUGAGCGGCCCACAUGACUCCCCAAGGAAGAAUUUGUUCUCUGAGGUCAUGGCCAAUGCAGAGUCCCUUUGGGGUCACAGAGGGAAACUUAUCACCCAAUAGACCCAUCUUACCCAUAACUCAGGACUCCUCCCAGCUGGCGGGUCCGGGAUGUGAGCUGUUAUGCACGUGGGAAGAACUGCAGGGCCCUGCAUGUGGAUAAAGCUCAGGAAACGCAGGUUGGAAGGAAGCCUGACUGUGGAGACCAACGGUCAGACCUGACAGUAAAGCCCUUCCUUACCCCAGCCAGCUUCCGAAGCAAAGAGAAAAGAGCAGAGCAGGCUGCUUCAGAAGCGGACCCCAUGUCGCCCCCUGGAGGUCAGCGAUGCCAUCAAGGCUCAGCCUACACCAUGAACGGGUCACAAGCAGCAGCCCGGGAAGACUGUGGUCUGACUGCCCAGCAAGUUCUAUGAAUAAGCCCAGUCUUCACUCACAGUUCAUGAAAGGAACACUGUCCCAGAGCAGCCUCAGCCCCUGUGGGUUUCAGCUCAGAAGGAGAAUGUUGUUGCUUGAGCCUCUUUCGAGUUUUAAAAAGGACAAGGAAAGGCACUGUGUACAGUGUUUUACUUCGGGCCUUUUUUUUUUCAUUACUCCAAACUGUUGGAUGUUGAAAACCUUGCAUUUACUUGUGAAUUGCCUGUCUGUGUUUAUGUAUGGAGGAGGGUAAAGACUUGAAGAGUCAAAAUUACUUUUAUUUUCCUUGUAAGUUUCUCCACAACUUAGCUUUUCAUCGAGCAUCCCAUAUUUAUUUCUGUGUAAUUAUGUCAUUAUUUGGUGCAUUUUAUAACCAGAGAUGCUAAAAAUUGUUCUAUCCCACCCUUCCAUGCUGAAGUCAGAUGAGCCACAGUGGUGGCACAGAAUCCAGACCCACCCAGCAGUUAGACGGGGCCUCACUUACCCAUGGAAAACAGUCCUGGAUGAGCACACCAAUUUACCCAGGAGAAUAAGCAAAGAAACACUGUAGGUAAUAGAGUCAAAUACUAACUCAACGACAGAAAUUUAAUUAGGACCACACGAUUUACUUGUAUGUAAGAUGUUUCAUAUAUCAAAGGCAAAUUAGGAGUUAAAUGGGAGAAGGAAAAACUGAAGACAAGUUGGAAAUAAAAAACAGCUUGUCAUGUUCUUGCCCUUUUCUUGGUCAAGCUGUUGAUUAGCAGGCAGCUAGCUAAGAG